rnacentral:rRNA from 1 species
UACGUAGGUGGCAAGCGUUGUCCGGAUUUAUUGGGCGUAAAGCGAGCGCAGGCGGUUCCUUAAGUCUGAUGUGAGAGCCCCCGGCUCAACCGGGGAAGGUCAUUGGAAACUGGGGAACUUGUGUGCAGAAGAGGAGAGUGGAAUUCCACGUGUAGCGGUGAAAUGCGUAGAGAUAUGGAGGAACACCAGUGGCGAAGGCGACUCUUUGGUCUGUAACUGACGCUGAGGCUCGAAAGCGUGGGGAGCAAACAGG